rnacentral:sRNA from 1 species
GUUGGGCGAGGUGUCGCACGCCUGUAAUCCCAGCUGCUUAGGAGGCUGAGACAGGAGGAUUGCAAGUUAAAAGUCAGCCUCAGCAAAAGCAAAGCACUAAGCAACUCAGUGAGACCCUGUCUCUA